UACGUAGGGUGCAAGCGUUGUCCGGAAUUAUUGGGCGUAAAGGGCUCGUAGGCGGCCAACUAAGUCAGACGUGAAAUCCCCCGGCUUAACCAGGGAACUGCGUCUGAUACUGGAUGGCUUGAAUCCGGGAGAGGGAUGCGGAAUCCAGGUGUAGCGGUGAAAUGCGUAGAUAUCUGGAGGAACACCGGUGGCGAAGGCGGCAUCCUGGACCGGCAUUGACGCUGAGGCGCGAAAGCCAGGGGAGCAAAGCGGG
rnacentral:rRNA from 1 species